CUUCCUCGAUCUGCUGCGGGCAGAUGAAAUGGAUAUGCGCGUCCAUGCCGCCGGCGGUGACGAUCUUGCCUUCGCCGGCAAUCGCCUCCGUGCCCGGACCGACGAUAAUGUCUACGCCCGGCUGCGUAUCCGGGUUGCCGGCCUUGCCGAUGGCGACGAUGCGUCCGUCCUUCAGGCCGAUAUCGGCUUUGACGAUGCCCCAGUGAUCGAUGAUCAGUGCGUUGGUGAUAACGGUAUCGACCGCGCCAUUGGCACGCGUCACCUGGCUCUGGCCCAUGCCGUCGCGGAUG
rnacentral:sRNA from 2 species